UACGUAGGGUGCAAGCGUUAAUCGGAAUUACUGGGCGUAAAGCGUGCGCAGGCGGCUUUGCAAGACAGAUGUGAAAUCCCCGGGCUUAACCUGGGAACUGCAUCUGUGACUGCAUCGCUGGAGUACGGUAGAGGGGGAUGGAAUUCCGCGUGUAGCAGUGAAAUGCGUAGAUAUCAGGAGGAACACCGGUGGCGAAGGCGGGAUCCUGGGCCCAGUACUGACGCUGAGGAGCGAAAGCGGUGGGAGCAAACAGGG
rnacentral:rRNA from 1 species